rnacentral:rRNA from 1 species
CUUGGGUAGCAAACAGGAUUAGAUACCCUAGUAGUCCAAGCAGACAAUGAUGAAUGUCAUGCAUUAGAUAUAAAUAUUUAAUGCAUAAACGAAAGUGUAAGCAUUCCACCUCAAGAGUACUAUGGCAACAUAUAAACUGAAAUCAUUAGACCGUUUCUAAAACCAGUAGUGAAGUAUGUUAUUUAAUUCGAUAAUCCGCGAAAAACCUUACCACAGCUUGUAUAUCAUAUUUAAAUAGUGAAACAAGCGCUGCAUGGCUGUCUUUAGUUAAUGUCGUGAGAUUUGGUUAAUUCCUUUAAUUAACGAAAACCCUCGCUUUAUUUAUUUAUAUAAAGUGGUUCGCUAGUACAUCGGAUCAGAUAAAAGGGAUUAAGACAAGUCAUUAUGGCCUAAAUGCUGUGGGCUAUAGACGUGCCACAUACGCCUUUACAACGGGAUGCUAUAUUGUGAAAUGGAGCU